rnacentral:rRNA from 1 species
CUCGGCAGCUAGCUCUCUGCAACUCUCACAUGGUCACCCACUGAAGCUAAGCAGGGCUGCGCCUGGUCAAUACCUGGAUGGUAGACCACAUGGGAAAGCUAGGUUGCUGCUGAAA